AUUGAACGCUGGCGGCAGGCCUAACACAUGCAAGUCGAGCGAGCGGCGGACGGGUGAGUAAUGCCUAGGAAUCUGCCUGGUAGUGGGGGAUAACGUCCGGAAACGGGCGCUAAUAAAGCAUACCAUAGGAUGUGCCCAGGGGGUAUUAGCUAGUAGGUGGGGUAACGGGUCACCUAGGAGACGAUGCCUAGCUGGUCUGAGAGGAUGACCAGCCACACUGGAACUGAGACACGGUCCAGACUCCGACGGGAGGCAGCAGUUGGGAAUAUUGCGCAAUGGGCGCAAGCCUGAUGCAGCCAUGGCGCGUGUAUGAAGAAGGCCUUCGGGUUGUAAAGUACUUUCAGCGGGGAGGCGUUACCCGCAGAAGAAGCACCGGCUAACUCCGUGCCAGCAGCCGCGGUAAUUC
rnacentral:rRNA from 1 species